CCUACGGGCGGCAGCAGUGAGGAAUAUUGGUCAAUGGGCGAGAGCCUGAACCAGCCAAGUCGCGUGAAGGAUGACGGAUCUAUGGUUUGUAAACCUCUUUUAUAUGGGAAUAAAGUGAGGAACGUGUUCCUUAUUGUAUGUACCAUAUGAAUAAGCAUCGGCUAACUCCGUGCCAGCAGCCGCGGUAAUACGGAGGAUGCGAGCGUUAUCCGGAUUUAUUGGGUUUAAAGGGUGAGGAGGUGGUUAAUUAAGUCAGCGGUUAAAGUUUGGGGCUCAACCUUAAAAUUGCCGUGGAAACUGGUUGACUUGAGUGUAUGAGAGGUAGGCGGAAUGCGUGGUGUAGCGGUGAAAUGCAUAGAUAUCACGCAGAACUCCGAUUGCGAAGGCAGCUUAC
rnacentral:rRNA from 1 species